rnacentral:rRNA from 1 species
UACGUAGGGUGCAAGCGUUGUCCGGAAUUAUUGGGCGUAAAGAGCUCGUAGGCGGUCUGUCGCGUCGGAUGUGAAAAUCCAGGGCUCAACCCUGGACCUGCAUUCGAUACGGGCAGACUAGAGUUCGGCAGGGGAGACUGGAAUUCCUGGUGUAGCGGUGAAAUGCGCAGAUAUCAGGAGGAACACCGGUGGCGAAGGCGGGUCUCUGGGCCGAUACUGACGCUGAGGAGCGAAAGCGUGGGGGAGCGAACAGG